CCAGCAUCCUCUGCCGGGACUGAAUGUGCGCCGUGGCCAACUGUGACUCUGAGUGCAAUAGCGGAUUCAGCAGAAGCAAACGAAGCUAUGAAUGGAAGGUGCUUAGCAUCUGGUGGUCGCGUUGCUUCUGGCUGUCGUCUCAUCUCCCAGGACAUCAGCACUGCAUGAUUUUAGGAACGCAAAAUCAUGAUGACAUUAAUAGGCAGUGCCAUGUAUAGGGGAAUAUAGGGAGACGAGAGCAUAUGUCCAUCAGACAAGAGAGAGACGUACCUGAUGACAACGCAAGUUUUCGGGCAGGUGAAUCAAGAUUAUCUUGGCCUUGCCUCUUGGGGUUGGGAGGAACAGGCAAACUCUAUCCAUCAAUUCUGUCCAUCAAAGCAACUCUGUCCAUCGAAGCGCAUACAUUUGGUCAUGCAGUGAGUUGUUCAUUAUUGCCUAGCUGGUGCUCUUGUCAAAUUUACAUGAUUCAGUGAUUGAUAUGUUUGCCUCAUGUGGCGUGCUCUUACCCUGCAUAUCGUCAAGAACACAUGGGAAAACACCCGUAGACAUAAAUUUAAUGAGAUGACAUAUGUUCUAGCUCAUCUCAGCAAAUCAAUUCCAAGGGCGCUUGAAAAAACACCUCUUCUCAUGCUAGAUUUUCUAGGGAAACCAUUCAUACUGUAACUGUGCCUAGAGGGGAAUUAAUCAUGGUUCGAUGUACGCUGGUCCACAUCCAAAUAUUAUACCUAAGCUCGCCCUCAUGGACUCCUGCAUACAAUGUCAAAGUCAACUUCGUGCCAAUCUCAUCGAUGAAGCAGUAUUCUAAAGCUACCGUAGAGUCAAAACUUGUGAGCAACUUCAAUUCCUGAUGCCUUCUAAUCUCAUUAAACAAAUAAACCAUGGCGAUGCCAAAUAACUCUGAUCUUGGUUUAAGGAGUCAUGGAAGGCUGGAACAGACAUAUAUAAUCCAUGCAGGAAGCACUGUGAACAGGAGGG
rnacentral:lncRNA from 1 species